rnacentral:misc_RNA from 1 species
GGAAAUAAAAGUCGUAACAAGGUUUCCGUAGGUGAACCUGCGGAAGGAUCAUUAUUGUAUAACCGAGGUGCGAGGGCUGUCGCUGACCCGAAAGGUCGUGCACGCCCGAGUGCCCUCACACACAUCCAUCUCACCCCUAUGUGCACCACCGCGUGGGUCCCCCUUUGGCUUGUUCGGAGGGGGGCUUACGUUUUCACACAAACUUUGUAUGCAGUGUAGAAUGUACUUUUUGUUUUUGCGAUCACGCAAUCAAUACAACUUUCAACAACGGAUCUCUUGGCUCUC